CAUGAACGAGGCGUGUUAUUCCACAUGAACGAGGAGUGUUGUUCCACAUGAAAGAGGCGUGUUGUUCCAUGAACGAGGCGUGUUGUUCCACAUGAACGAGGCGUGUUGUUCCACAUGAACGAGGCGUGUUGUUCCACAUGAAUGAGGCGUGUUGUUCCACAUGAACGAGGCGUGUUGUUCCACAUGAAUGAGGCGUGUUGUUCCACAUGAACGAGGCGUGUUGUUCCAUGAACGAGGCGUGUUGUUCCACAUGAUCGAGGCGUGUUGUUCCAUGAAUGAGGCGUGUUGUUCCAUGAACGAGGCGUGUUGUUCCAUGAACGAGGCGUGUUGUUCCAUGAACGAGGCGUGUUGUUCCAUGAUCGAGGUGUGUUGUUCCACAUGAAUGAGGCGUGUUGUUCCACAUGAACGAGGCGUGUUGUUCCACAUGAACGAGGCGUGUUGUUCCACAUGAACGAGGCGUGUUGUUCCACAUGAACGAGGCGUGUUGUUCCACAUGAACGAGGCGUGUUGUUCCACAUGAACGAGGCGUGUUGUUCCACAUGAACGAGGCGUGUUGUUCCACAUGAACGAGGCGUGUUGUUCCACAUGAACGAGGCGUGUUGUUCCACAUGAAAGCCUCCGUGUCAGUGUUCUUUAAUAUCCAACACUUUGACCUUUUUCAUCACGAUAAUGUGAAGGACAGAACCCACCUCAACCUUCACCAGAACACAUCACGUCCCUCAGCCGAUUAGCUCAUGGUUAUUGCUGUAGACUGAUGUCUACGGUCUGGACACUGCUGUGAGAACAGAUCACAUCAUCUCUGUUCAGAGUAGAGGAGAUGUGGUGAGAGAGAUGAUGAUAUGAGUGUGUCUGUGUGUGUGGUUGUGUGUGCGUGUGUGUGUGUGUGUGUGUGUGUGCAUGUGUGUGUGUGUGUGUGUGGU
ensembl:lncRNA